CUGGGGGCAGCACAGUGACACAAACACUGUGAGGUCUCAUACAAAAAGCUGAGGCUACAAAAAGGAGCAAUACAUUUUAAGGGAAAAGGGAAAAGGGGAAUGUGUUGAAGAAGAGAACUGCAAAAUUCCUAUAAGCAUUUAUUCUGGAAGUACAUUGCUUUCUGAGAUAAUAGAAAAGGGGUUUAAAAGCUUUGACCUGGAUCAAGUUGUUUGAAAUCACUCUACUAUGAAAUUAUUAUUUUCUUCCCUCACAGUUUUGGAAACAAUGGUGACUUUGGAGCACUUUCAUGGCAGCCCAUGUGUGGAUUCCUUGGACAAACCGCUGGCAUUCUAUUCCCUGAUUUUUACACCUUUAGAGUGUGGAGAGGAAAGUGGGCUUAUCUGACUAUGUGUAAACAGUGUGGCAACAGACAAGCUUGUAUUCGGAACCGGGAUCACUUUUUUGGUUGAACCAAAGACUCAAGAAGAAUUUGGCCCAGAGGUCAUUGUGCUUAAAUCAAAGAAACCCAAACAACAUGAUAACAAACUGAACAUGGCUUGCUUGGCAAGGGCUUUCUACCCCAGGAACAUCAGCCUUGAUGUGCCCGAGAGUGACAUUGUAUAUGAUCUGAAGACACCUCUUUUUACGUCUGAGGGGAUGUACAGUACCAUGAAGGUAGUUGGAGUGGAACCAGGUGCAGAGGUGACCUGCAAGGCUAUGCACAGGGGGAGCAAGGCUACGGCCAGCAUAAUUCUACCAGCAGAAGAGAAAACUGAGGAAUCUGAGACAGCGAAUGCUUGCACCAUUACAGAUGCUGCUACAAAAGAUGUAAAAAUGGAGCAAGUGAAUAUGAUGUUCGUGGCUGUUUUCGGUUUGAGAGUCCUGCUGGCAAAAAGCAUCGCCUUCAAUACCAUCAUGACCAUCAGGCUGUUUCUCUUCUGAGGUGCUGGAUAAAUGAGCCAGCAAUGGACUGAAGAAGAGCAGGGAAGAACACACAGCAGGAUAAUUUAAACACGAUGGGUCAGCUUUGCUACCAAUAAGCAUCUAAAGGAUCAACAGCCCUCCCCAGUUCCUAUACAUCUAUGAGUCCCUUUACUUCAUCAGGGUGCUCCUCAGUUACCACCACCUGGAAGCCUUCUUAGACAGCUAAUACUGCUGAACUCUUGUCUAGCUUAGUUUCAUUAAUUGUUAGAAUAAUUUUUGUUAGUUCUUAUUUCCACAAGAAAUUUCCUUCAUCCCCCUACUAACCAGGAAUAGUCAGCUCUCCUACCCUCGUGUCUGUUGCACUGAAGCAUCCAAAUUGCUUAGAUAGUUUCAAAAACUUAAAACUGAACUUUAUACUUACUCUGCUUUAAAAAUGCCAUCUUAAAAAUACCAUGUUACAUUACUGCCCACAGAAGGAAUGCUUUUCUGCUUAGGGAUCCUGGGCACAGGAGCAGCACCGUACAGUUUUAAUUUUUAGAAGCUUUUUUUAGUGGCAAUUUUCUAGUGCAGGUAACUGGAUCUCCACUGGACCUGAAGGAAUUCACUUCAGACAGCUACACCGUAGUGUUUUCAUUUCCAUUUCCUCUUUAGAAUCUCUCUCUCUUUUGUUAAGUAGAUGGUAC